GAGAUGUGGGUAGUCCGCACGAGCGCACCUCACUUUUAGUUGCCAUCAUUAAGUUGGGCACUCUGAAAGAACUGCCAGUGAUAAGCUGGAGGAAGGUGGGGAUGACGUCAAGUCCUCAUGGCCCUUACGUGUUGGGCUACACACGUGCUACAAUGGUAUCUACAACAGGAAGCAAGACUGCGAAGUUAAGCAAAUCCCUAAAAGAUACCUCAGUUCGGAUUGCACUCUGCAACUCGAGUGCAUGAAGCUGGAAUUACUAGUAAUCGUGGAUCAGCGUGCCACGGUGAAUGCGUUCCCGGGUCUUGUACACACCGCCCGUCACACCAUGGGAGUUGGUUCUACCUUAAGGCAAGGUUUCAAACCCUUGACCACGGUAUAGUCAGCGACUGGGGUGAAGUCGUAACAAGGUAGCCGUAGGGGAACCUGCGGCUGGAUUACCUCCUUUCU
rnacentral:rRNA from 1 species